rnacentral:rRNA from 1 species
AUUGAACGCUGGCGGAAUGCUUUACACAUGCAAGUCGAACGGCAGCACGGACUUCGGUCUGGUGGCGAGUGGCGAACGGGUGAGUAAUGUAUCGGAACGUGCCCAGUCGUGGGGGAUAACGUAGUGAAAAUUACGCUAAUACCGCAUACGAUCUAUGGAUGAAAGCGGGGGAUCGCAAGACCUCGCGCGAUUGGAGCGGCCGAUAUCAGAUUAGGUAGUUGGUGGGGUAAAGGCCCACCAAGCCAACGAUCUGUAGCUGGUCUGAGAGGACGCGCAGACACACUGGAACUGAGACACGGUCCAGACUCCUACGGGAGGCAGCAGUGGGGAAUUUUGGACAAUGGGCGAAAGCCUGAUCCAGCCAUUCCGCGUGCAGGAUGAAGGCCCUCGGGUUGUAAACUGCUUUUGUACAGAACGAAAAGGUUUCUACUAAUACUAGGAGCUCAUGACGGUACUGUAAGAAUAAGCACCGGCUAACUACGUGCCAGCCGCCGCAGGAA